CAUCAGCACCACUAUCCCCAUGUCACCCUCCAAAAGCAACAGUUAAAUCUUAGAAAAUGGACAGGAACUCCCAGGCUGACACAUAGAAGUGAGAUGGAGCAUGAGGAGCAUUUUUGGGCCUCUAGCCCCCAUAGCUGUGUGGCCUGGGUUCUUCUCUGCCCAGUGUUUGCAGCACUGCCUUUGCCUCUUAUGUCCCCCUGCUUUCCUCAUUUUGAGGCAUCCAUGCUUCUUUGUGACACCCCCUCCCCGCAAAACAGGCAGAGUCUAAGAUGUGCAUGUACCCACUCCAGCCUCAAGCUUGUAUCUGUAUCCAUAUCCAGGGGCAUAAACAAGAACUGAGGUAGCCACUGAUUUAACUUAGAGCACUCUCAAAGUUCAGGUCAGCAUAUGUGUGUGCCUGGUGUGGUGGAGAGCUUUUCCCCUAGGACAAAGAGACUUUCCUCCCAUUUUUGCCAUUGUGCUAGUUUAAAAAAAAAAAACAUCCCUGACAAGGAAGAAUUCCCUGAAGAUGGUGGGAGUGGAAAUAAUGACCACUGAGAUGAUACUUCAUUUCUGGCUCCUAGGGAAAAAUGUUUUUAAAUUUUAUUUUGAGAAGACCAAGAUAGUCUAAAGUUUAGAAUGUUGUAAUUUACUAUAGGGAGAGGGCACAAGAAACUAGGCCUGGAAAACAGAAAAUGAAAAGUCGAGCUGGGGGAAGAUUUUUAAAUACGUGGGUCAGAGGGACAGAGAGGAGAUGAGGCGAUCAAUCUUAGCCCUCUGACAGCUCCCUCCGAUUGCAUCAAAGAAUUUGGCUCUUUGGAAAAGCAGAGGGAACAGCCAAAAUUUCACAUCCCUUAAAAAGGCCUGGGGGUGGGGGUGGGGGUGCAAAAGAGAAAGGUGAUUCUGGGAGAGCUGGGAAACAGAUGGGAAAUGGGGACAGAGGGAAGGCGCUAAGUUGGGUGGAAAGUUUGCCUGGAGAACUCUCACAGUUCUGGCCUCCCCUCCCCCUCCUGUCUCUCUGCUGCCCAGCCAGGAGGAGAAGGCUGGUUAGCAAAGAAAUGGCAAGCGAGCCCGGAGCUGGAACUAGAAACUUUCUGUCAAUGUUGUAUCUGCGUGGGUGGUGACCCAAUGGUGGUUGGGCUUCGGGUCACGUGACAACUUCUUUGUAGCUCCGGAAGAGGACUGUGAAGUUUAGGUUUCGUGGAAGAAACCGAGAAUUGAGGAAAAAAAAAUCAAGAUUUGGGGGGAAUUACCUACGAAGAUGUAAGGUGCGUUAAUUUGGGCGCUUCUUGGAUUCUACCCUGAGGAGGAGGCGCAUGGUGAGAGGAGAGCUCCACCAGCUGUGCGCUCGUGUACGCCGUUCGCGCCCUCUUGGAUGCCGCCGACCCCGGGGGGCUCUUGUCCCCUCCCGUGCCGCCGCCGCUGCCGCCCCCGCCGCCACCACCGCCUCCGCCGCCGCUGCUGCCACCACCGCCGCCGCCGCCGCCACAGCCCUCUGCUGGAUCCGAGGAGGAGGGGUGGGAAGGGAGAAAAUGAAAUAAAAGAUAAUUACUGAACACACCGAAAUUGAAUGCAUCGUUUCUUAAUAAAUCCAGGCCUGGACUGGGAGCCCCCGCCGCCUCCCCUUCGCGUCCCUGCCUCCUCCUCACUCCCCCACCCCACCGCC